rnacentral:rRNA from 1 species
AUGUGUGUACCGAAGAAGAAAGGGGGAUUGGGAUUUAGAGACCUUCACAGUUUUAACCUUGCUUUACUAGCAAAACAGUGUUGGCGACUAAUCCAGAACCCGGACUCUCUCUGUGCACGUGUACUAAGCGCAAAGUAUUAUCCAGAGGGGAAUAUCUUGAAGGCAGGCCCAAAGAAAGGCUCGUCGUUCACCUGGCAGAGUAUUGUUGCAGGGAUUCAAACCUUCAAAAGGGGAUGUAUAUGGCGUGUGGGAACAGGAGCACAAAUAGAUAUAUGGCAGGAUCCUUGGAUCCCUUCCAGCCCCUCAAGAAAAGUGAUUACACCCCAAGUAAUGAUCAUGCUAAGAUAUGUGGAGGAACUAAUAGACCCUCACACCGGUCAAUGGGAUGAAACCCUCAUCAGAGAUAUAUUCUCUCCCGUUGAUGCUUAUAGGAUACUACAUAUACCUCUUAAUGUUCAGUUCAUGGAGGAUUUUAUAGCAUGGAAUUACACGAGAUCAGGGACUUUUUCGGUUCGGUCAGCUUAUCACAAAGAGUUUGAACACCUGUACGGUCAUCGCCUUGCAAGAUCUGAUGGGCAAGGGAACUCUUAGGAGGAGGCAAUAUGGCAAGAAGUGUGGAACCUUAAAAUCCCUGGUAAGGUAAAACAUUUUGCUUGGAAGGCAUUGAAUGGAUCACUACCCUGCUAUGGAAUUCUGGCAAACAGACAUAUCCUGCUAAUCCCACAAUGCCCAGUCUGCUCAGUGGGAUUGGACGACAUUCAGCACUGUUUGUUUACAUGCAGGAGAGUUCAAGAAAUAUGGUCAGCAUUGGGGGUUCAUAACACCAUAAUGGAGGCUAUUAGACAGGACCGAUUUGGAUCAGUAACUGUACAGAUUCUAGCUCGGACACAGAGCGUAUGUGAGGGAGUGCCCACAGCCGAGUUAAUUCUAGUGGCUGCCUGGUACCUCUAG